UACGGGGGGGGCAAGCGUUUGUUCGGAAUUACUGGGCGUAAAGGGCGCGUAGGCGGCCUUCUAAGUCGGACGUGAAAUCCCUCGGCUUAACCGAGGAACUGCGUCCGAUACUGAAAGGCUUGAAUCCGGGAGAGGGAUGUGGAAUUCCAGGUGUAGCGGUGAAAUGCGUAGAUAUCUGGAGGAACACCGGUGGCGAAGGCGGCAUCCUGGACCGGCAUUGACGCUGAGGAGCGAAAGCUAGGGGAGCAAACGGG
rnacentral:rRNA from 1 species